rnacentral:ncRNA from 13 species
GUCACGAUAGCUCAAUUGGAAGAGCAGCGGCGUAUUUAGCCGAAGGUCGUGGGUUCGAAUCCCACUCGUGACA